UGCUUUUUCUCUUUUAGUAUGAGCGAAAGCCAAAUGAUUAGCCUACCUGUUGUUAAAGUAUUCAUAAGAAGAGGCUUUGAGAACUAAGACACGAGGGAUACCUUACUCUGAUUUUCUUUUCCUCCUUAGGUCCAGAGGGGGCAAACCUCUUUAUUUACCACCUUCCACAGGAGUUUGGAGACCAGGACAUUCUGCAGAUGUUCAUGCCUUUUGGAAAUGUUAUCUCUGCUAAAGUCUUCAUUGACAAACAGACCAAUCUGAGCAAGUGCUUUGGUUUUGUUAGCUAUGACAAUCCCGUCUCUGCACAAGCUGCUAUCCAGGCUAUGAAUGGCUUUCAGAUCGGCAUGAAACGCUUGAAGGUGCAGCUGAAGCGCUCCAAAAACGACAGCAAACCUUACUGAUCCUAACCCCAGAGGCUCCCUGCUCUUAUUUUAGCUUUCUUAGGACAUCUUCAUGCCCGUUAGUUCAUCGUUUGCCUAGCAUGUCCCUGUGGCGUCUCAAAAAAAAGUUUCAUCGUCCCGUCAUUGUUUCUGAUGUCUUUCUGACCUCACAUCACAUUUGGUUCUCCUACUGACCUUUGAUCUAGUUUGACCUUUGAAAUUUGCAUGUGACCUCAUCUAGCUAUGAAUUCUGGGAAGUCAAUGUGAAAAACAUUGCUGCAUUCAUGCAAGACUGAAAUUUAUUAUUAGACAAAUUAAUUAUAGAAAAAAACCUGUGGCAAAAAUGUUUCCUUCUUUUUUUUUUUCUUUUUUCUUUUCAUAAAACAGACUUGAAAGUAUUAUACAGGGAUUGGCAUUCUUCCCGGUCACUGGUAACAAUAGCAAUAUGUGUCCAGGGACACAGAAUGUUGGUUUCUAACAGACUACUUCCAAAAACAGUUUGAGAAAAAAACUGUCUGAUUUUAAGUCUCUAGAGGUCUGUAAUAGUUUUUACAUUUUUCAGGCAGUGUAAAGUUUUUUGAUAAGGCCAUUUUAGGUGGCUCACUUUCUCAUUAAGAUAUAUAUAUAGAACCACUUUUUGUAGAUUAGUAUAAGAAAAAUAUUUACCCUGUUUUGGGGCAAAUGCUACCUAUUUGUGUCACCUUUUGCUGAACUGACUCACAGUUAGACAAUCCAUGGUUUAAUGCACAUGAAAUUACCUAUAUUUUAUACUGUUUCAAUGUACAGGAGAAAGGUUACUGUAAACUGUGUUAUGUUGGUGCUUCUGUGAAUUAAGUUGUGGUUUCAUCAUGAGUCUUAUGGUCUUAAUGUUCUUUGUUGAUAAGACAAGUUUAGAAUUGGUUUACUUAAAACAAAAAAGAAUUUCAAAAAAAAAGUUGUUUGCUUAAAAAAAAUUUCAUGUGAGGGGAAAAAAAAAACCUAUUCCAGAAUAAGUUUUGUGUUGGCUUGUGAAGCAUUGAUGUCAUUUUUUUUUUUAUUGUGGACUAUUUAGAUGUGUUUGUGUUCAGCAAAAUGUGAUUUUUUUUUCUUUUAAAGAAAAAAGUGAAAAUAUAUAGUGCCAAAUUCCAAAGGUACGUCCUUCCUAGAGCUUCAGUGUGUUUCUUGUGAGAAGUAAUUUGAUAACAUGGGUAUUUUAUUAUGUGUUUUGUAUAAAUCCCUAAUAUUUAAAAAAACAAACAAAAAAAAGAGGUUAAAAAGUUUGUUAACUUGCUAUCCUGUGGUCUUGUUGCCUGAAAUUGUUAUUUGUUAUUUCUCUAUGAUGUUUUUUGUAAGACAUUGUAUAAGUGCCCAUGUCUCACUUUUUUAACCACUCUGCACAUCAAUGCUGUGAAGGCAACCUCACCAUGUAUUUUCUUCAUAAUAUAUGGAAACCUCUAAGGUGAGAAAGUUUUGAACUUUUAACCCUUUCUACCCAGAGCUAUCUGAAAUGUUGGUAACUUUUUAUACUGUCAUCAUGAGUUUGUUUGGGGGUGUUUCUAAUUUAGAUAAUUUUUUUCUACCUAUAUCUUCUGAGUUUUUUCUUUCUUUGUUUUUACUAUUUUUUUAUCCUUUGGGUGAGAUCCAAAAGAAAACACUCUACAAGGCAAAUCUGAAGGGGAAAAAAAUAACUCUCUCCAAUUUUUUCCCUACUCCAUUUUUUCUCUUUUUUUUACUUUUGAUUAUUUCUGGUAAUUUUUUUAAAAAAAAAGAAUUCCUAAUGUGCUGCUGGAAUUCCUUCUUCAGUUUGAAUUAAAAACAAUUUAUUGGAUAAACCGUCUGAGGGGAAAAGUAGGUAGAGUCAGCAUUUAAACCUUAAAAACUCUGUAGGCUUUUGAGAUCAGGUUUAGUGGUAUGUUCUAUCUUAGAAUAUUUUCAUAUACCUUGCAGUUAAACGACUUUGGGAUGAGAUAGUCUUUUGAGGGAUUUUGCUUUUGUUUCUUAAAUACUCCUAAAUAUUUCUAAUCAGCCAUUGUGGUGGGGAUUCUCUGACCCCAGUGGAUACCUCUGAAUCAGCAAGGUAUUUGGAGUUAGAAGCUCACAGCUUUUCCUGCCUUUUUGUUUUUUGGUUGUUAUUAUUGAACACAUUUAAAGGGGAAUGACCAUAUAAGUAAAGCUCAGUUCUUUAUCAAAGUUACUGAUCAAAUACCUAGCACCAAUUCCUGCUGCCACUUUUUAAAGUGCCAUAUGACUUUGACCUUCUGUGAACAGAUAUCUUGCUGUCUUGACAAACCUUAAUGUCAUACCUACAGCCCCAACACAAACUCCAGCCUUCCUGAUAGCAGGCCCUGGAAGCUUCUUGGUCUCAGCUCCAUGUCCCCUCCCCUCUCCCACCCUGUUUGGCUUAAUGGGUGUGUGGAUGUGAUAGCCCUGGGAUGGAAAGGACUAGCCUCUCAUAAUGCAAAAAACAAAAACAAAAGUUUCCUUCUUAUAGCACAUGCACUUCUAAUGAAAUGAUUUGUAUUAUCCUCACACGUGUUUACUACUGCUGGGGCCUUCCUUCAUCCUUUGAGGGCUAUUUUGUACUUCCUGCAGCAAUCAGCUUACUAACAAAAAUUAUCGCACAUGCCUCUCUCAUAUAUUUAUUAUAUGGUGGUGUGUAGACACAUACAUAAAAACACAAGAGAACACCAUUCAGAUUUCUUAGAACGUUUCAUUCAGAAUCUCUUCAUCUGUCAGUUACAAAAAUCUCAAAGAAAAUUUUCUGAUUCCUUCACUGAAGCAAACUGCCCUCCUCCUGCCCUCUUUUCCUCUUCACCCCCCUGCAUCUCCCCCAAAAGAGAAAUUGAGCGCAGCAGACAGGAGGCUCAGGCUGGGCACUUUGAGUUGAAUGUUUCUUAUUUUGCAGACAACCAAGACAGUAUAUUUAGGGGGAAAGUCCUUUUUUUUUUCUUUUCCAUGUUCCACUGUUAAAAAGAUAACCCUCCUCCUCAGAGACAAACUGUCCUUUUAUCCCUUCAUUCACUUAUCUUUUAAUAUCAAAAGGAAAAAGCUGCAGGGGAGCAGAGGGCCUGUGCCAGAAGAAAAAACACACAGGGAAACUGCUUUUUUAAAUCACGUGUAGAGAAUAGUCAUUUUUAAACUAAAUGAGAGAAUUACGAUAAAAUGGCAGUCCUCAAAGGCGUAACAAGUUCAUCUUUCUUUCACCAUAGGGGUUAUAGUUCUUUGGCUUGUGCUACUCUGGAAUCAUUUUACUGUUUCUGUUUUUAUUAUCUUAAGUGCUAAUUAAAAGAAGAAAUAAAAUUUUUAAAAAACCUGUAGUUCCAUUACCUUUUUGAAUAAUGUCAUACAAAAAAUGUAUUUGUGUUUUUUUGUGCUGUGAGAAUUGUUGUUUGUAGAUUAAUAAUAUCAUUUUGUUUAGAAUUACAAAAUAGUUUUUAAAUAUUGUCUGAGAAAAGCCAAAGUUAAUGCAACCUAGUGGAAACUGUAAGACCAUUUGAGUAUUGUUUCUGUUUUAUUGAUGCAUUUGGAUUUUGUUGUUCGAUGGAAUUUGAGCCAAAAAAAAAAAAAAAACAACGCAGGCUUUCCUAUUUCUACAACUGAUUGUACUUAUGCAUUUUGUACCAGUGGAACUUUUUAUACUGGAGAUUAAAAAAAAAAAAUGGAAAUUUUUGUGGCUUACUCUAGUGGGCCCCCUGACAAUGACUGAUUUCAAGUUUGAUUUCUGGUUGAUAAGAAGAAAGUUGCUUUUCUUUUGAGAAUUAAAAACUUUGGCUUGCUUUCUUUUUCCCUUUGCUUAUAUCUAGCAUUAGAAUUUUGUCUUAAAAUACAGCGGUAAGUUUCACUUUUUAUUCUGUAUUGUGCAGUUACACAAUAAGGUAAUUAGAUUUAGAAGUACUCAGUCACUUUAAGUGGAUAAAUGUAUUAGUUAAAACUUUAGGGGUUUGCUUUUUUGCUGUUUAGAUCAAUUUUCUGAUUCUUCUGUCCUCAUUGUGAACAUAACUGUGUAGUUGAAAUAGUCAAACUUAUUUUUGUAAUGUAUGUUAUUGUGUGAUGCGGUUUUUUGCUUCUGUCUCCAAUAUUAAACCAUUUUCCUAAUACUUGUUUCUCUCUCUGCGUGUUGUAUUGUUGGUAGUCAUUAUAUGUUGGUGAUACAUCUGCACACCUCACUGUUUCACGUAUGUUUUUUUUCUAUAUGUUGUGUAAAUAGAUACAGUCGAUUCCACCUAAGUGAAUAUCUGAUUUGGGGAACUGUACACCAGCCACCUUUAUUUAUGUACAACAAACCAUUUUCAUUACUGCUUCCAAGGUUUAUACACUUUUUUCUAUGGUUUACCUAAAUAACUGCCACAGAGUUGGACUUGCCAAGAUGUUUUGUGGCCUUUUGACCACAUAGAGUAAUUUCACCUUCUCUCCUCUCCUCUUCUGAUCUACCCCUUCCCUUCUCCCUCCCUCCCUCAUGAGUAUACACAUGAUAUGUGCAGUUCUUAAUGUUCAUUAAAAACUGCUGCUGGGGUUUCUUCUAUCUGCCGGUGAGUCCAAAGACAUAUCAUUACAGUCACUCUUCUUAGAAACUAAUCACCUUUUUAAAAAAGGUGAGCUCUCCAGGGAAGAAAAAAUAAACCUAGCUGGUGAAUAGAGGAUGUGAAAAGGGCUAAACUUAAGUCUGUGUGUUGCCAUCAAUCAAUAGAUGUGAACAGAAAAGUUAUUUAUUUCAGUGAGUUAACUGGAUCCAGGAGUGGCUUUAACUAUUAAAGAUAACAGAAGAGAAAAAUAUUUCCAAGUGCUCAGAUGGAAGCUCUACUCAGUCUGGUGGGGGUGGGGAUGAGGUAAGGUUUUGCAUGCUCACACCUUCGUAGUAUGUUGUCCGUUUCCAAGUGACAGCUAAUAAUGCCACUCCCUCCUGGAUGAACACAGUGUUAAGAAUAAGCAUUGGCCCCACUAUCACCACAUCCCAGUUACCAAAAAGAGAACUAUUCCUUACAUGCUCUCUAAAACUGAAGCCACAGGCCCUCCGCCCUUUUCCGUCCAUCUCCUAUGCUCAGGAAUCUGAUGAUUGCUCUUAAAGUGCUCUUAAGAGAUUCCAUCGACGUUUGCUCCAGUCUUAUCUCUUUUUCCAGUUUCUCAGACGCACAAGCUGUGUCCAACUCAGGCCACCCAGCACCUGGCAGCCAUCCUCUGGGUGCCAAUGAGGUUUUCCCCUGCAGGUGCUCAGUCUCUUCACCCUCUGGUUUCAGCAGCCCCUCUGGUCCCAAGAUUGCAGUUUCUAGUUGGUUCAACAAGAGAGGGGCCUAGGGAGGUGGAAGAGAGGAGGCUCUCUCCUGUAUGCUGAACACCUCACUGGUAGUGACUUCCACAGCUCCAGGCCUACACAGAUGGGAGCUGACUUCCUGCCGAAGCUCCUGCUCUAGCUCAUCACAGCCUGCCUCAGCCUGCCUCUGAAACCCACUGCUUACCUUCAUGGGGAGAGAUGGCUGAGGGUGUGAUUUCUUUUUCUUUUCUUUGGGAGGGAGGAGGUUGGAAAGUAUGAGGGAGGGGAGUGGGGGGAAGGAGGUGAUCAAAUUGUUUCCAAGGUGCAAGUGUUUAUCUUUUAGACACAUAAGUACACAUUUCCACCAUGUGACACAAGGCAAAAUACUCAUGCUAAGUAAAGGAAGGGAAAACAAAGCCAAAUUCUCCAAAGAAGGGGAUGAAAAUACCAGCUCCUUUGAGCACUUAACCACUGUAAAGCUGGUCCCUGCUUAAGUUCCCACUUACAAUUUUGAUGAUAUAAAACACCGUUGCAGUGUUAGCAAGGUGUGUCUGUUUGCCAUGCACGGACCACCCUGGGAAGUGACAAGCGUGUUUGUUUACCUUGCUGCUGGGAGCCACAUGUCUGGCCAGCCCAUAGCAGGCAUGUGCGGUCUGUGGCCGGACUCUUGGCUGGCAGGCUGGGAAGCCCAGUGAAGGCAAAAGUACUGUGAAUCGUUCCUGAUAAGUGAAUAAAACGUGACCGAGCAAUCAGUUCAUUCACUUAUCAGGAAUCGACUGUUCUGCUGAUUCGCUGUUUUUGUUCUUCAUCUCUGUUGUAGUUCACUAUUUUUGCUGUGUUCUGUUUUCUCCUCUCAUGCUUGGGCAAAAUCACUGGGAAUAUUUUCAUGUGACUAUGAAACGUUUAUAUCGAGUGAAAAUGGUAUCUUAACAAAAUCUAUGCACUUGCUAUCAGGAACACAAUACUGGAUGUGUCUUAUAUAUAUUGAACUAUAUAGUACUCGAUUUCUUAAAUAAAGCUUAAGAAAGGA